rnacentral:rRNA from 1 species
AUGAACGCUGGCGGCGUGCCUCAUACAUGCCAGUCGAGCGCACAGACGAGGAGCUUGCUCCUCUGACGUUAGCGGCGGACGGGUGAGUAACCCGUGGAUAACCUACCUAUAAGACUGGGAUAACUUCGGGAAACCGGAGCUAAUACCGGAUAAUAUAUUGAACCGCAUGGUUCCAUAGUGAAAGACGGUUUUGCUGUCACUUAUAGAUGGAUCCGCGCCGCAUUAGCUAGUUGGUAAGGUAACGGCUUACCAAGGCAACGAUGCGUAGCCGACCUGAGAGGGUGAUCGGCCACACUGGAACUGAGACACGGUCCAGACUCCUACGGGAGGCAGCAGUAGGGAAUCUUCCGCAAUGGGCGAAAGCUUGACGGAGCAACGCCGCGUGAGUGAUGAAGGUCUUCGGAUCGUAAAACUCUGUUAUUAGGGAAGAACAAAUGUGUAAGUAACUAUGCACGUCUUGACGGUACCUAAUCAGAAAGCCACGGCUAACUACGUG